rnacentral:RNase_P_RNA from 1 species
GGGGCAUACCGGACGGUCGCUGGGAUCUCGGUCUCAGAGGAAAGUCCGAACACCAAAGGGCAGCGAGCCGGAUAACGUCCGGGCACUCGUUCUAUGCGAGUGACGACAAGUGCAACAGAGAAUAGACCGGCCCGAAAGGGUGAUGGGUGAAACGGUGAGGUAAGAGCUCACCGGCAUCGGUGGUAACACACGAUGGCCAGGCAAACUCCUCGUGGUGCAAGACCAAAUAGGGAAACGCGAUCGGGCUGCCCGUCCGAGCGUCGGCUUUGGCCGGCAGCGUUUCCGGGUAGGUCGCUUGAGCCGUUCGGUAACGGACGGCCUAGAUGAAUGAUCGUCAUCGGCGAGCAGUCCGAAAGGAAACCUCGGCGAUACAAAAUUCGGCUUAUAGGUAUGCCUCAUAG